UAGAUAUUAGUAAAAUCAUUACAUAACUUUGUCAAAGUUAAAUUACUGGUUCGAUCCCUGUAUAUCUUU
rnacentral:tRNA from 1 species